rnacentral:ncRNA from 1 species
UUGAAGAAAAGGCAAACCUCUUGAAAAAGGGGGACGCAAAGCCGGUGGUCUAAGGGGUUUCCUAUGAUAGCACAGCUACCUCA